UGCCAGGCAAGCGCUUUUUGCUGCUGAGCUAAAUCCCCAGCCCCUCCUCCCUUUCUUAUAUGCAAGAAAAGGGUAAACCAAGGUGAAUAAAUGAGAUAAUGUACCUGGGAGUGCUUUGGGGUCUUUUUACUAUUUUUUAAGACCUCUAUUUUCUUGUAAAAUGAAGGAACUAGGACUAUGAGGAACUGCCAGCCAGACCAUCGCAGGGACAGCGGGGAGGUGCAUCAGGUUAAGGUGAGAGGUCAUGGAAAUGCUGAGAGAAGAUGGGUAUGUGUGAAUUUGUGAAGUGUAUCUCCCAGCCCAGCUUUGGCCAUCCAUGAUUUAACCCAAUACUUUCAGGCGAGAACGGAAUUUCCCAACAGCCAGCCUGGAUUCUAGUGCUUCUUAAUUGAGCUCUAUGGCAGAAUUACAGGAUAUCCCUAGAGAUGACUAUGUCCAGUGCCAUCAGCUGAUGGAAUGGGUCCACAGAAGCCAAAUGGCUAGACAUAAACAUUCUGUUUUGACGAAGUAGCAAACUUUCUUUUUUUUUUUUUUUUGUUUUUUCUCCGGUACCGGGAACCGAACUCACGACCUUGCGCUUGCCAGGCAGGCGCUUUGCCGCUGAGCUAAAUCCCCAGCCCCAGUAGCAAACUUUCUAAAACACUGUGAACUUGGGUAAAAUUUUGACCCCAGAUCCAAGUCCAACUUUCCUCAAUCCCGAUUCUGGCUGAAAGGGAGAAAAAUGAGGUCAGAGAAUUUGAGCAGGGUGCUUUAUUACCCAGCCCCGUCUUAUUCCGCCUCUAGCAUUGACUUCUCCCCUGUUUGCUAUUUGCAACUUGAUAUCAGGAUUUGAAUUUCUGUUGUUGCAGCUGCCCGGGAGAUGAGGCAAUUUGAAGUUGAAAGUCCUCAGAGAAGCUACAAAAUGAUGAUGAUGAGGAGGAGGGCAGGAGGGGAAGAAAUUUCCUUUAGAUGAAAUCUGUUUCCCUGGGACUCUGACCUGUAGUGUUACAGUUCUGUUCACUGUACGGACCCACAGUAAAUCCAAGUCACCUUCUACACUUCAAAGAAUGAAUACAAGGAAAAACCCAGAACCUGUGACUCUUGUUCACGAGCACAUGUCUGCAUGUAGUCAUGUUGAGUUUAUGGAAAAUGUGGUCAGCCUCAUAAAUCAGUGCUGAGGAAUUCUUACAGUCAAUACCGGGCAAGACAUGCAGGUCUGUAGUGAGUCUGCGAAGGUUAUGCAAAACAAAACAGAGGAAGCAUGUGGACCAGGGUCUAAUAUGGUCCUGCCUGCCCACAGAUGCCCUUGGAAUUCUCUCCUGGAAAGUCAUAAUACAGCUCUGGAUUGCAGCUCCUACCCAGUCUCUGACUGUUGCUGUGUAGCUUCAUGUAUACAUGGAGAAGUGUGUGGUCGUUACCAUGACGACAAUGACACAAUUCGCGCAAUCUGUUUUCUCCCAUGUAUCAUGCAAUUUUAGCAGAAGUUGUGGAAAGAAAGUCCAAAGUAAACUAGAUAAUUGGAGUUUGAAAUGGCUCUGAGAAUGUGUUCAAAUGUAUUCUAAUUCUUACAUGUCCUGUACUUCAAAUCUAUUCCUUUGUGUCAUUGGGAGUGGAAGCUCAAGGUGGUACUGUGUCUUUUCAAAACCAUGUUUUUCAAAAACAAUGCUAAUACAAGCUUUCAUUCAGAAUUAGUAAAUAAGAUAUUCAAUUUAGGUAUGAUACAUUGAAGGAAAUUCCAUCAGUUUCUAUUCCAUUGUUCUUGGAUUUAUACAACUGGCCUUAUGCCCUAAACAUUGAAUAUAAAUGAUAUUUCUUUCAAUCUUUUCUUUUUCUUAUACCCCUCCCACUUCUUAGGCUGACCCAGUUUAUCAGUUUGUUUCUGCCAAAUUAAUCAGUCGAGAGUGGGAUGCUAACAUAUUUUUAGUGAAGAAUUAUUUAGUUGCUCAGAAUAAAGAAGGACUGCACAUUGUAUCGGCAUGUUGUGUCACAAAAAUACGACUACUGAACCCUAUUUUAUUAUUUUUAAUGUUAGAUAAGUGUCAGGAAUCCUUAAAACCUUCAGUUUUUCACAGCAGCCAGAUGCAUAAUUUAAAAGACCAAAUAUUUUCCUGAAUAUUAACUUUCUAGCCUGGGUCCAUUUCUGUAUUAGGAUUUUUACUUUAAAAUUUUCUGUGGAAACUCAUUCCUCUUGACUUUCACAUAAAAAACCCCCAUGUGCCAUGAGAGCCAAGUUGACCCAGUGUUUAUAUGCUUGGUUUCACAACAUUUUAUCUGCCAUCCCUGCCACAAUUUGGAGCAAGAAGAGCUAUCUGGGUAGUAGCUCCCAUAAGCUAUGAAUCUUAAGACUAAUUCCCCCUAGUCACAAACUGCCCAUUGUUACUGAUGCAAAGUGAAUGUAGUGGCAGGGUCCUGAUAGUGUUUGUAGAGACGUCAUGUUGGAGAAUGGGCGAUGCAAAGAUGUAUGUAUCCAAUGCACACCAAUUGCAAUGUGGCUUGAUGUUUGCACCAACCAUUCACAAGGGUAGAAAAACACAUAGUACAUAAUCAUAAUAAUAUUUGCCAUCGAUUGGAAAUUAUUCUAUGUUCAACACUGGGCCAAAUGUUUUACAAACAUUACCACCCUCCACCAGGCCAUCUACUUUAUAAAGGUGACAUAGAGAAGUUAGGCGGCUUCCCUAAAAUUUUCCAGACCAGUCAAAUCAAAUCAAAGUCUGCCUCAUUUGCAAAAGAAAUUUAAAUUAGACACCUUUUGCUUUUGGAUAAAUGGGCCCAAUUCCCAAAGAAGUGAAUGGAAGAUGUAGGUUGCUGGUAAUUGAAGGAGAAUUUGAUAUCAUGCCUUGCUUGGGAAAAACUGUAGAAGAGCAUGUAGCUCUGACAAGAAGAAAUAGCAGUGUCACUUUCUGAACCAGAACAAAUUAUUCAGUUUCCCUUCUCUGUUUCCUCAUUUACAAAGCAUGCAGACAUGGGCUAGAUAGCUUCUAAGGUCUUUGUGGCUUUCCUGUCUAACACUCCACACUUAGCUCUGGCAGUUCCUAGACCAACCCUCACCCAAGAUAGAACACCCGCUGCAGUCCGGGAUGCUUGGCCCUAGACCUGCUGGGUGACAGUAAGAGUUCCCUGUGGCCCCUUAUGCUUUUAUCCUGACCUUGUGGUUACUGCCACUCUGUUCUCUGCCACCGGCCAGUGUGGCCAAAACCCAGCAGGGCUUCCUCCUGGGACUGUCCAAAGUUUGAUCCAGCCAUAUUCUAGUACUUACUGUGCCUCUAAGUUGAGAGGCUCAAUAGUUUUCUGUGAAAGUCCACUUUAGAAUCAAAUAAAAACUCAAGGUUUUGCGAAAAGUAGAAUUUUGAAAAUUAGUAUUUGAUUUGUGACAACAUAAAGCAAUAACUUCAUUUGUGUAUCUGGAGUUAUCAUAGCUCUACAGGGAGAGAGAGAAGAGAGAGGGAGAGAGUGUGAGAUAGAUAGAUAGACAGAUAGAUAGAGAGAGAGAGAGGGAGAGAGAGAAUCCAUGUAUCCAUGAAG